rnacentral:lncRNA from 1 species
AUAAGAUGUCAUCAAAUAUCGAUCAAAAUUCAUCACCAAAAGAGCGAAAAAUGAAAAACCAAGGAAAAUAUUCGUCGAUCUUAUGGAAAUAAGAGCCCAUCUAGCAUUUACAUCCAACUUUCCCGUCAGUCAUGACAUUGUGAUGAACGCGAUCAAUGGAUUAUUAGUUAAAACCGUAAGCAAUGCAAAUCGCAACCGGACAAAACCAUCAUCAUGAAAUAACAUAAAUACAUAAUUUCUUUCGAAGUUGUGCAGACCUCCAGAAACUGAGUAUGACCAAGG